rnacentral:lncRNA from 1 species
GCUCUUUGGAAUCCUGCAGAUAUAAUCAUGAUAAUUAAACAAAACACUCAGAGAAACUGCCAACCCUAGGAUGAAAUAUAUUGUUACUGUGCUUUGGGAUUAAAAUAAGUAACUACAGUUUAUAGAACUUUUAUACUGAUACACAGACACUAAAAAGGGAAAGGGUUUGGAUGAGAAGCUCUGCUAUGUAAUCAAGAAUCUCAGCCACUCAUUUCUGUAGGAGCUGCAGGAGCUCCCUGUAAAGAGAGGUUAUGGAGUCUGUAGCUUCAGGCAACCACUGAUCCACUUCCAGUGGCUAUCUGUGAGUUUUUAUUUCCAAAUACAUGAAAUCAUAGGGGGGGUCAUCCUCCUCCAUCCAGGACCUGAGGGGUGUCCUUUUCUGUGCUUCCUUGGAUGGCAGCCUUUCCUGUGGAGUUAUUCAGAAAGUCAGGCUGACACAUGUUGUCGUCUUGAACUCUGGCAUCUCAUCUCUAUUCUAGGUGAAUCCCUUCAUGUUUAUAGUGAUUUACCAUUAAAUCACUGUGCCGUUUUUUCCUAAAAUAUAUGGGGC